rnacentral:rRNA from 1 species
UUUAUGGAGAGUUUGAUCCUGGCUCAGAGUGAACGCUGGCGGCGUGCCUAAUACAUGCAAGUCGAACGAUGAAGCUUCUAGCUUGCUAGAAUGCUGAUUAGUGGCGCACGGGUGAGUAACGCAUAGGUCAUGUGCCUCUUAGUUUGGGAUAGCCAUUGGAAACGAUGAUUAAUACCAGAUACUCCCUACGGGGGAAAGAUUUAUCGCUAAGAGAUCAGCCUAUGUCCUAUCAGCUUGUUGGUAAGGUAAUGGCUUACCAAGGCUAUGACGGGUAUCCGGCCUGAGAGGGUGAACGGACACACUGGAACUGAGACACGGUCCAGACUCCUACGGGAGGCAGCAGUAGGGAAUAUUGCUCAAUGGGGGAAACCCUGAAGCAGCAACGCCGCGUGGAGGAUGAAGGUUUUAGGAUUGUAAACUCCUUUUGUUAGAGAAGAUAAUGACGGUAUCUAACGAAUAAGCACCGGCUAACUCCGUGCCAGCAGCCGCGGUAAUACGGAGGGUGCAAGCGUUACUCGGAAUCACUGGGCGUAAAGAGCGCGUAGGCGGGAUAGUCAGUCAGGUGUGAAAUCCUAUGGCUUAACCAUAGAACUGCAUUUGAAACUACUAUUCUAGAGUGUGGGAGAGGUAGGUGGAAUUCUUGGUGUAGGGGUAAAAUCCGUAGAGAUCAAGAGGAAUACUCAUUGCGAAGGCGACCUGCUGGAACAUUACUGACGCUGAUUGUGCGAAAGCGUGGGGAGCAAACAGGAUUAGAUACCCUGGUAGUCCACGCCCUAAACGAUGGAUGCUAGUUGUUGGAGGGCUUAGUCUCUCCAGUAAUGCAGCUAACGCAUUAAGCAUCCCGCCUGGGGAGUACGGUCGCAAGAUUAAAACUCAAAGGAAUAGACGGGGACCCGCACAAGCGGUGGAGCAUGUGGUUUAAUUCGAAGAUACACGAAGAACCUUACCUAGGCUUGACAUUGAGAGAAUCCGCUAGAAAUAGUGGAGUGUCUGGCUUGCCAGACCUUGAAAACAGGUGCUGCACGGCUGUCGUCAGCUCGUGUCGUGAGAUGUUGGGUUAAGUCCCGCAACGAGCGCAACCCCCUUUCUUAGUUGCUAACAGGUCAUGCUGAGAACUCUAAGGAUACUGCCUCCGUAAGGAGGAGGAAGGUGGGGACGACGUCAAGUCAUCAUGGCCCUUACGCCUAGGGCUACACACGUGCUACAAUGGGGUGCACAAAGAGAAGCAAUACUGCGAAGUGGAGCCAAUCUUCAAAACACCUCUCAGUUCGGAUUGUAGGCUGCAACUCGCCUGCAUGAAGCUGGAAUCGCUAGUAAUCGCAAAUCAGCCAUGUUGCGGUGAAUACGUUCCCGGGUCUUGUACUCACCGCCCGUCACACCAUGGGAGUUGUGUUUGCCUUAAGUCAGGAUGCUAAAUUGGCUACUGCCCACGGCACACACAGCGACUGGGGUGAAGUCGUAACAAGGUAACCGUAGGUGAACCUGCGGUUGGAUCACCUCCUUU